UUAACUCAAAUUUGUAUGGAGUCGGAACGUUUACCUGCGUUUGCCACUACGGGCGCUGUUCCAACUACAUACAAAUUUGAGUUA
rfam:Bombyx mori DNA, contig: Bm_scaf70_contig30934, strain: p50T/Dazao, build 2, whole genome shotgun sequence.